rnacentral:rRNA from 1 species
GAUCAUGGCUCAGGAUGAACGCUAGCGACAGGCUUAACACAUGCAAGUCGAGGGGCAGCAUUGUUUGUAGCAAUACAGGCAGAUGGCGACCGGCGCACGGGUGAGUAACGCGUAUGCAACCUGCCUAUCAGAGGGGAAUAACCCGGCGAAAGUCGGACUAAUACCGCAUAAAACAGGGGUCCCGCAUGGGAAUAUUUGUUAAAGAAGCGAUUCGCUGAUAGAUGGGCAUGCG